GCUUUUCACGUUAUAAAGACGCUUAACAAAAUGCUUUCAAGCCAAAUGUAAUCUUUAUUUUUCUGUUUCUGUACAAAAAGCACGGGAUCACAGGGAAAAAAAAUCUGAAAAAAAACAUGCAUUUAUUUACAGCAUGGUCAGAGAGAAAAAAGGAAAGUAGAAUACAUCUCCCUAUCUGAAUUCUAAAGACAUUAAGUAAACAUUGUGCUUUGAUAUAUUUUGAUAUAAUAUUUCAUAUUUCACAAAGAUGCAGUACCUUUCUUCAUUUCACUUUGAGUUCAACAUUUCCAAAGAAAACAGGGUUUGUGAAAGAAAGCAGAAGCCAGCUCUCUACAUCUAUGACAAAAAACCUUUCACAAGCUAUUAGGAAACUCAAUGCAUGGGUGAAAUGGAUGGACGUGUGUGUGUGUCUGGAUCUCUGAGAUGUUUUCAUGUGAACUUUGAGAUUGAAUUCAGCUGUUGUAGUAUAAUAGGGCACUGUCAAAUUGUAUUUUCUUUACCCCAUUUAUGUCUAAACCCCAAAAGGACGAAUAUGAAGUAAUUAGGUCACCUGUGAAAUUAAAAGAGGUCUUCAGAAACCACUAUUUCUUUCACAUGUCAUCUUUGCAAACACACACCUUCACAUACUUCAAGAAAAUAGGAAAAAAAAAAAAACAUGACUGCAAUAUUAAAAUUUUACGUCGUUUUCAAGUGCUCACAGUUAGUGAUAUUUGGUCGUGUCCAACCAAAGAAACCACCUUCAUGAAGAUGACAACCUGCAAUAUGUUGAUCACCUCAGUCAUAUUUCCUCAAUGAUUUUCCACAUUUUCUCUACUGUGAAAAUUGCCAUUUUUAAUGCAUCAUAUCACAGACUUAGACUUUUUUUUUCUUGAUUUUUGAUUUGGAAUGUUGGAGCACAUCCUAUUUUAAGGCAUCAUUAUAUCUCCUUCCAAUAUUUAAUUUCACAGCUAAUCCACUGAAAUGUGGAUAGCGAUUUGCAUUUAAAUACAGAUUGCAUAACUUGUGCAUGUGUGCGCAACAGUAACAAUAUCACUAGCCACACUGACCUCACUGAAUGGUUCCACGUCAAAAUGUGCUCCGUUUCAACAGGUUUGGACAUCUCUGAAACUGUCCAUUUCUGGACAUGUGAUACAAUAAUCAUGUGGCACAUUAGAUAUGACAGCAUAGAAAUUUUGACAUUUCACCAGUCGAUGCAGUGUGGCGAAACAACGAAUUUCUAAUGUAAAAUAAACCUCAACAAGGACAGAGAAGUAUUAUGGAAACAUUUUAGAAACAUCAACAAAAUCACAUGAUGAACGAUUUUAGCUAUAAUGACCAAAGCAAAGAGUAAUCCC